ACACAGGAGACGCGUGAAGAUGGAGAUCUUGAGUCCGAGGCCAGCCUGAGUCGCGUGGUAGGACUCUGGCUCUGAACAAAACAAAGAAAAUGGAGUCUGAUGCUGGCUUCUCAGGAAGCUGGAUGUCACCCUGAGGCUUCUGUGCAAGCUGAGGCGGUUACCCACUGUGUCCACGUGGUGUCGCUAUCGAUCACGCUCGGAUUCCCGCAGCCACACCAGGUUAUACUGGGUCACUGGAAUUUACCACCAGACUCCCAGGUCUCCUAGCUCCUGGCUGCCUCUUAGAUGGAUGGUGGGAAUGAUGGACUCCAUGGCUCAUCAUGAAACGUGCAAGAUUUCAGGACACCUUUCCUUCCCCCAGAAAGAUCCAGCGUUGGAUCCAGCUCCCAAGGAGUCUGUCUUCUGGGGUCCCCAGGGAGUGCACCCCUGGGAAAGAGAUGACUCUGUGAGCCAAUUUCUCUCUUGAGGAUGAUCACAGUCAGGUGCCCCGGAGUUGACCUCCUCAAACCCAUGGUUUCUCUACCUGAGUUGCUCCCCUAUACCUUGGGAAGGUGUACUAAGAGGCAAGAGUGGACCAAGACAGGUCCCAGCCACACCCCAAUAGAUGCUCAGGAAUCUAGGUGCUCACAAGAAUCAGUUCCUAUCUUUCCCGGCCCUUCCUUGGAACCUUCCAGAAGGGAGCAACAUGACUGUACC